UAGAAAACAGCAAGAGUAAUUAAAAUGAUUAAUUACUCUUAAAAAUAAAAAGGCCAGUCUAUGUCAUCUUCAACCCAGCUUUUCCUAAGAAUAGUCAACCUGUUAUUUGGGAGCUUCCUCAUGCCCCCUUCUCUUCACCUCAAAAUUUUGGUACAUAUUUUGAAAAUGUGAUUAGCGAAUUCCUGUAUAUUCCAUAAUUAAGAAUUGGAAGUUUUCUUUCCUCAUUUCCUAGAUUUGCCAUCAACGUGGGUUAAGAAUUACAUGGAACAGCAGAGGGCGCCCUGCUCCACGUUUCUAGGACUGUAAAGCAAGUACCUGCCCAAUCCUGCCACUUGGAACUUGUGUGAAUGACAGCCGAACCUAAUUUCCACAAGAUCAGGAAGCUGCCUGUCCUCUUUAUUGUUAAAUCUUCAGCAUUAGCACUCACAGGUGAAAGAGUUUUCAAAAUGCCGAGAGCUGGUUUCUUCACUCACUAAGCAUCAGAUUUUCAGCAUCUUGGACAUCUUACAUGACGGCCUUUAAUACAGGUAAUUAUUAUUGUUCACAUAAGCUCUGCAUCCCCGGCUGAGGUCUCUC
rnacentral:lncRNA from 1 species